AGUGUAGGCGGGAUCGUAAGUUAGGAGUUUAAUGCAUGGGCUUAACCCAUGAUCUGCUUUUAAUACUGCGGUUCUUGAGUAUGGGAGAGGGCGAUGGAAUUCCAGGUGUAGCGGUGGAAUGCGUAGAUAUCUGGAAGAACACCAGUAGCGAAGGCGGUCGCCUGGCCCAAUACUGACGCUGAUGCUCGAAAGCUAGGGGAGCAAACAGGAUUAGAUACCCUGGUAGUCCUAGCCGUAAACGAUGGACACUAGUUGCUGGAGGAGUCAAUCCUUUCGGUGACGAAGCUAACGCAUUAAGUGUCCCGCCUGGGGAGUACGUUCGCAAGGAUGAA
rnacentral:rRNA from 1 species